rnacentral:snoRNA from 1 species
ACUGCCCCUAGAGGUAUUGCAGAUGUGGCUGUUGUGUCAUGUGUGCAUCAGUACGUGGUGGAAAGGACACAAGCCACAUCUAUGCUCAGAGUUCUAACCUUUUUCUCCAUGAAAAAGAAUGAGCCUGCGAUG